rnacentral:rRNA from 1 species
UGGGGAAUAUUGCACAAUGGGCGAAAGCCUGAUGCAGCAACGCCGCGUGAGUGAUGAAGGUCUUCGGAUUGUAAAGCUCUGUCUUUUGGGACGAUAAUGACGGUACCAAAGGAGGAAGCCACGGCUAACUACGUGCCGGCAGCCGCGGUAAUACGUAGGUGGCGAGCGUUGUCCGGAUUUACUGGGCGUAAAGGGUGCGUAGGCGGAUGUUUAAGUGAGAUGUGAAAUACCCGGGCUUAACUUGGGUGCUGCAUUUCAAACUGGAUAUCUAGAGUGCAGGAGAGGAGAAUGGAAUUCCUAGUGUAGCGGUGAAAUGCGUAGAGAUUAGGAAGAACACCAGUGGCGAAGGCGAUUCUCCGGACUGUAACUGACGCUGAGGCACGAAAGCGUGGGUAGCAAACAGGAUUAGAUACCCUGGUAGUCCACGCCGUAAACGAUGAGUACUAGGUGUAGGAGGUAUCGACCCCUUCUGUGCCGCAGUAAACACAUUAAGUACUCCGCCUGGGAAGUACGAUCGCAAGAUUAAAACUCUAAAGUGAAUUGAC